ACAAGACUUAAAAAGAGACUAAACGUAUUUACAUUGUUAUAGAUCCGAUAUAUCCAGUGUCUAGCUCUACAUAGUAUGUUGCAAAGUGUUACAAAAAAGUAAAGUCUAAAUAAAUCAUUGGUGGGAUUUUAAACAGAGUGGUAUAUAAAUUGGCUACAUUAGAGUGAGGAGAUUUAGCCGUUAUUAACCCUCAAGGGUAUGCAGAGACAGGGUUAGGUGAAUGAGUAUUUGUGGCAGUAUGUGGUAAUAGUCCCUGAAUUCUAUAAAGAAUAUUAGAGAGAAGACCUGUAAGCCACAAUUAUAAUACCCGGUAAAAUAGUAAGUAGAUACACCAGUCUGAAAGAGGGUAGAGGGUCAGUAAAUGAACCGCUGCAACUAUGAGUGGAUAGUGACCCAGUUGGUAGCCGAGGUGAUUGCCUGAGUGUGUAGUAACUUAGUAGCCCCAAAGUCUCUACUUGGGACCGAGAUAAUGUCUGAGGAUCUUGGAAUAGAAGUAAGUACAACCAUAGAUUAGAUCACCCCAAUUCCACCAUUAAAUAGCUGGUAUUCGUCUAGAGGCAGGUACACCUCAAGCGGACAAGUUGCAAAAUUAUAAUUUAGUAGGCGAAAGCUGCUAAAAGUAUAUGGACUUUGUAGCCAACGAAUCCUACUUAGGACCAAGACAUAUAUCUAAGUGUCUCGGAUAGUAAAGCGGUACAUACAGCCAAAAAAAAACAAAUCCCACCAUACAGAAGCCAAUGUACAUCUAGAGACAGGUAUAACUAAGUGGAAAGUGGCUUAAAACCAUCAUAAAUAGCUCCCUGUAAUACUGUGGGGGGGGAGGGAUGUCCCUAACAGAAGAGUAAAGACUAGCACUGGCUUUGCAGCCAACGAAUCCUGCUUAAAAUCGAGACGUAUAUCUGAACGUCUUGGAUUAUGAGGCAGUAUGUACAGCUAAACCCUAGAGCACCCAAAUCCCACCAUAUAGAUGCCAAUAUGUGGCCGGAGACAGGUAUGACUAAUACUAUAAGGAAUUAGGGGGAAGGGUGUCCCUAAAAGAAGGUAGCAGAGAGAAGGCUAACCCUGUCUAAAUCCCUAAGGAGAUCCUAUCAAAUAGAGAGAGAGGAGAGACUCUAAUGGUCUAAAUUUAAAAUAAUAAUCCGCAGUACGGGAAGAACUGGCUCAAGGUGCGUUUCGGCGAACCUUAUUGCCUUUGUCAAGAGCUGACUGUGGGCUUACACGCGCCUCUUUUUAAACCCACAAUGGGGUACGCCCAUCAGGCGUGAUGUCAUGUGGCGUCCGUGAAUCAAAUUGAUGAGGGGGCGUGUUCACUAAUGGAACGGAGCACGUGGUAGAAAAGUGUGUUAACUCCUAAGUCACCUUUAGACUUUAGUAGGAGUUGAAUACUAAGUAGGCACUAAGUAAACCUUCACAGUUUGCCAAACAUAAUGGCAAGAGAAUACCCUUCAAAGGUUAUUAGAAGGGGUAUAAAUAUAGUGUGAAACUAUAGGAUAAUGAAAGGAGAAUUAAAGGACAUGUGUUCUCAAAAUUGUUACGAAAAAUAACUUUCAUCGAUGGUAAUAAGAAUAGUAUGGACCUUAAAUGAACACUAUAGUCACCUAAAUUACUAUCAUUCCCCUGCAAUUUCACUGCUCAAUUGACUGUCAUUUAGGAGUUAAAUCACUUUGUUUCUGUUUAUGCAGCCCUAGCCACACCUCCCCUGGCUAUGAUUGACAGAGCCUGCAUGAAAUAAAAACUGGUUUCACUUUCAAACAGAUGUAAUUUACCUUAAAUAAUUGUAUCUCAAUCUCUAAAUUGAACUUUAAUCACAUACAGGAGGCUCUUGCAGGGUCUAGCAAGCUAUUAAUAUAGCAGGGGAUAAGAAAAUCUUAAUUAAACAGAACUUGCAAUAAAGAAAGCCUAAAUAGGGCUCUCUUUACAGGAAGUGUUUAUGGAAGGCUGUGCAAGUCACAUGCAGGGAGGUGUGACUAGGGUUCAUAAACAAAGGGAUUUAACUCCUAAAUGGCAGAGGAUUGAGCAGUGAGGCUGCAGGGGCAUGUUCUAUACACCAAAACUGCUUCAUUAAGCUAAAGUUGUUCAGGUGACUGUAGUGUCCCUUUAACUUGUCCUCAGAGAGAAUCAAUUUAAUUUAAGGAGUUUAACUGGAAAGUUAGUUCAAUAGUGAAUGUGUUUAAAGUUACUAUAAACAUAGAUAUGUAAAUGACAGUUAUAAGAGAGUGUAGAGAGAGGUUAGUGGUUAGUGUAGUGUAGGAAUGACCCAAAGACAUAUGGAUCAGUCCAGAGAUUAUGAUAUGUAGUCCCGUGCUCAUGUGAUGGAGAUACGGAAAUAGGUCAAUGUGGAUAACCCUAUUCAGAAAAUUGGACAUAGUAAGACAAAUGCAGAUAAUGAUGGAGCACCUUUAGAGUGGGCAAAAGGUGGCUCGAGGGAUGAAAGAAUCAAUUAGAUGAAUGGUGCAAAUGAAAAACCUUCAUUUAGACCUUUAGGUUGAAGGGUUUUGAGUUGAUAGAUCCAGAGACUUUUCCUUUGUCUCAGGAAUCUAUCGUAGUUUCCCCUUAGUUUGCCUAUCCUUAUGAGUUCAAGCCCACAAAAUCAAAGUCCUUGUGAGUUACCUGAAUGGUGCUCUUUUAGAUGGCGGCCAAUGGGAGUGUCAGUGGUCAGUUUGGGUGACCUAACAUGUUCCUUAAUACGUUCCUUAAAGGCUCUGAAGGUUUUGCCUACAUAUUGUAACUUACAGUUACAUGUAAGUAAGUAGACAAUUCCGGCCGUUUUACAGUUAAAGAAUGACUUGAUGUUGAAGCACUGUUUACCGUCGCUAUCCAUGACUGCUUUAGAGUCUUGUUUUAUAUAUUUACAUGCGACACAGUGCCCACAUUGGUAGGUUCCUAUGACUUGGAUAUUCAGCCAAGUAUGUCUAGUUGGGUGUUGGACUUGCAAGUGGCUUGGGACUAGGAGGUCCCUGAGAUUUUUUCCCCUCUGUGCAGUAAUCUCUACUUUUGGACCAAGGAUCCGUUUAAGAUGAAUGUCUUCCAGUAGUAGGGGCCAAAACUUUUGUAUGCCAUUCCUAACUUUCUCCUUCCCAGCAUCAUAUGUGGCUAUCAUGCGUGGUGGGGCAAAAGAAGUCAACUAAAGGUAAUAGGAAUGGCUAUCUGUGUUAACCCCUGGUAGAUCUAUCCUACAGCAAGCCAAAACUCUGUUUAUCUAUACCAGCAUUUACCAAUAUUUGAAGCAGGAGCCGAUCUAGCAGUAAAAGACUAGGACAAAUUGGUCAUUUGGAUAAUUUGAUUAAGACUUUCUGGAUACACUAAAGACUACAUUGGACACUUUGUUACUUUUAGUCCUGCUUUGCUAUUUCACGUUGCAACUCUUUUUCAUACAGAGAGUAAAUUGAUGUUGUAUUCGUAUUGAUGUUUUUAUGGAUAUUAUUUCAAUUAGAUUUAAUAAAG
rnacentral:lncRNA from 1 species